GAGGGGAGAGGAAGUUAAAGAAAAGAAAAUUAAAGAAAAGAAAAAGGAAAGAAAAGAAAAAAAGACAGUCAACAGUGCUGAAUGUUAAAGAAGCAUCAACAAAGAUACACAUUACUAUAAAGGAUGUACUAGAUGUGUCCAGAAGAUCUGGGGCAACCAUAGUAAAUGCAAUUUCAGCAAAAUGGUAGACCUUGAAAUCAAAUUACAAUGGGAGUUAAAGGAACAAAUAAGAGGCUGAGGAAGUGAACCUAGCCAAUGCCUGCCGGACUACUCAAUCAAGAAAGGAAAUAAUAGUUCCUAUGAAUGUUGAUUUUCACAAAUAAAAAUUUUUUGUUUCAAGUUUUUGAAUUAUUAAACUUUUUUUUAAAGUUUAUUUAUUUAUAUUUGAGAGAAAGCACAAGCAGGGAAGGGGCAGAUAGAGAGGGAGACACAGAAUCCGAAGCAGGGUCUAGACUCGGGGUUGUCAGCAUAGAACCAAGGUGGCCUCGAACUCGCCAACUAUGAGAUCAUGACCUGAGCUGAAGUUGGGAGGCCCAACCAGCUGAGGCACCCAGGUACCCAUCCUCUUUAUACUUUUCCAUAAAAGACCAAAGCAUAUAAUAUAUUAAGCAUUAAAACCAUAUUUCUCUUACUUUAAUAAUCUUCUGCUAUCCAUAUAUAAAUUAAAUAAGAAAAAAAUUUUAAACAUCUAAUAAUGCCAGUGAAUAGGUUUAACGAUAAAUACUUGGACAUACCCAGUUAUUUCAGUUGCAGAAUCCUAUUACUGAUAUCCAUCUACUCUAUGUUCUUCCUUGGCAUUUAUGUAUAAUCUAUUUACAGUAUUAAAGAAAAGAAUUACAGCGGUGCCUCAGUGGCUCAGUCAGUAGAGCAUGUGACUCUUGACCUUGGGGUUGUGAGUUCAAGCCCCAUGUUGAGAGUAGAGCUUACUUUUUAAAAAAGGUAAAGAAUUACAGACACUGGGCAUAAAUUACAGGAAAUUUCUCAAUUACACAGUACAUUCGAAUCUAUUUCUAACACCCAUUUCCAACACACAUUAACAAAUCUUAAACACAAACAGGUCAAUGGACAAAGUAGAUAAAGAAAACUAGACAAAAGGUAGCAGAGGCGCAAAAGCAGACAGAUACAGAGGACAGGAAGAGUGACAACAAGGCAAUACAUCACAGUACUUAAUUUUUAGAUGACUCAGGACUAAAGGUACUAUAGAUUUAUUUUAUUGAUGCGAAAUCUGUUGUGAAGAAAAUAUAUUAGUCUUUCAGAUAAUGCUAUAUUUCAGAUAUAUAUUCAGGGAGUGAACAAAGGACGACCAGACACAAUGCUUCAAUAAAAUAGAUCUUUAGAAUAAUAUUUGCUUGCAAAAAGGUAAUGUUCUGGUUCUAAUAUUUGAACUCUGAAAAAUUACAAUUUAAAUUUUAGAUACCAUAAACAUGCAGCAUACAGCCUACUUUAAUUUUAUAGUUUCCACACACACAAAAAUUUGCCUUUUAAUAUGUAUUGUUAUAUGCAAAAUAACACUCUACCAGAACCAAAAGAAUGCUAUCUCAAGUCAUAAUGACUUUUUUCUUAAGUUUAUUUAAGAGAGAGUGCGUUUGAGGGAUAAGCAGAGAGAGGGAGAGAAUCUCAAGCAGGCUCCAUGCUGUCAGCACAGAGCCCAACAUGGGGCUCAAACUCACGGACCAGGAGAUCAUAACCUGAGUUGAAACUAUAAGUUGGACGUUUAACCAAUUGAGCCACCCAGUGCCCCUCAAUACAUAACAACUCUUUAUCUUUCUUUUUCCCUUCUCUGAAGCAAAGUGGGUAGGGUUUAUUUGGGGCUGAAACCUUAAUAGUUAAUUUUUUUUUCAGUUUUGCUUCAAGGAUUUUUUUACUACUCUUUGUACUGCCUGCCUUGUUAGUGAACUAUCACUCUCUUUCCAUAGGAAAAGUCCUUUCCCUUCCAUACGUAUGAACAAGCUCCCCACCUUGUUCAAAUCACACAAUACUCAUCUCACUGGCAAGCUGAAUGACUCUUUAAGUAAUGUAAAAAGGAGAUAUAGCAAUUAUAGUCAUUCUGAUCUCUUACCCUAAACUGAAAUAAAGUGAACGAGAUAGAUUAAACACCAAAAGGAAUGUCUUUAUUCAGAAUAUGCAGUCCCAAACAGUAAAAGCCAAACUGCACAAAGAGAACAGUAAAGCAGGUGCAAAGAAGCAAAGCCAAGUCUCCAGUCAUCUAGAGACAGAGAAACUAAUAAAUCAUAGAGGGGCUAUGAAGAGAAAAGGAAGAAGAGAAGUGCCUAGCUUUAUAGAUAGCUCUCCAUUCCUUGGUUCCUGUGCUUCAAGUAGCUUAACGGCAGUAUUCUGUUGCAAUAAUCUUUUUUUUUUUUUUUUCACUUAAGCUAGUUGGGAAGUAGGCUGCAAAUAAAAAUCUAUACCGGCAAAGAAUUUUUUUUUUAAUGUUUAUUUAUCUUUGAGAGAGACAGACAGACCGUGAGCAGGGAAGGGGCAGGGAGAGAGGGAGACACACUGAAGCAGGCUCCAGUCUCUGAGCUGUCAGCAAGGAGCCAGAUGUGGGGUUCGGACUCACAAACAGCAUGAUCAUGACCUGAGCCAAAGUCGGAUGCUUAACCGACUGAGUCACUCAGGCACACCAACAAAGAAUUUUUUUUAAUUAUUUUUUUUAAUGUUUAUUUAUUUUUUGAGAGAGAGACACAGAGAGAGAGAGCGUGCAUGCGCGCACCCGCAAGUGGGGGAGAGACAGAAAGAGAAGGACAGAGGAUCCAAAGCAGUCUCUGAGCUGACAGCAGCAAGCCCAAACGUCAAUUGGGGUCCAAACUCAUGAACUGCAAGGUCAUGACCUGAGCCAAAGUUGGACGCUCAACCAACUGAACUGCCUAGGCGCCACAACAAAGAAUUUUUCUGUAUUUCUCAUGCCCCGCUUUUUUUUUAUUGACUUUUCCCGUAAAUAGUAAGAAUGCAAUUGUUGGCCAAAGCAACAUCAUGUCAUAGAAAAAGCAUCUGCUUUGAUAACUGGGGACAAACUCAGCUCUGCCAACUUCUAAUGGCAAAAUCUGUAUGAAGUUCCUUAAUUUCCAAAUUUCUAAACAGGUUUAAUGUCUAUAACUUAUGAGUAAACCUGUUGUGUAUAAUGUGGGAAGAAGGUAUCCAGAAAAGCUAUUCUUUACUGUUUUGUAUUAUGGAAUCUAGAACUAUUUUCCUUUCUUUCUUUGGUUCUGGUCCCAAAUAUGUAGUCUCAAAAACUCGAGAGUUAUCUUAUGCAAAACUCAAAUUUGUUAAAAAAAAAUCCAAACUAAGCAAGAGGCCAGCCACUAUAAAUGAUAUGCCUAGGUCCUACAGACUUUUUACUGUAAUUUUUUUACAGGGCACUUUUAACAGAAGCCAGCGAAAAAUACUGAUCUAAACAUCUAAGAAGUAUAUAAACAGGGUACUAUUUUAUCUAUCUGGGAUAAAGUAAAAUUACCAGAUUUGAGAAUACUGACCAUGUGGUUGAAACUCAGUUUUAAAAAGAUUUUUCAUACUAACCAAAUAAUACAUUGUAAGGGUAAACAACUAUGCCAUAAUAAUAAGACAUCAAAAUACUCCUCACCAAAACAUUCAAGAAUGCAAAGGCCAACUUCAUAUUCAUUUCAUACUCUGCAUUUAAGUUGUUCUCGCUUUGAGAAUACCCUCCUAUUAUUUCAGUAUACAGGCUUUUCUUAUUUUAUCCUUUGCCAGCCACUCUGUUCCUCUCAUCUCAAACCCACAGUUCUUAGCUCUGUGUGUCUGCAAGCGCUGUUAGUUUUCUAUCUCUGAAAUGCCUUUUAUGCUAGUCUACCUGACAAACAAGCAGAUUUAGGCUCGCCUGCCUCGUAGGUUUAAAUCUUAAACACACUUCCAUUAGAAUAAUAUGACAUCUUGAAUUACUAUUGAGUACUCUCUACAUAGUAUGCUAGUAGCUUUACAUACAUAUUAUCUUUAUCUUGGUCAAUCAGGUAGGUAUUAUAUCCACAAUUUCCCUAGAUAACCUGCUCAUAAUCAUAGCACAGCCAAUAUAAAAAUUCCUGUGUGGCUCCAAACCUUGUUGUCUUUCUACUAGUCUGGAGGUAUUAAGGUUUUUGGAACCCAAGACCCUUGAGAAUCUAUGAGCUAUGAACUUUCUCUACCACCUCCCCAAUAACAAACUUACACACAAAAUAUUAUGUACAACUUGAAAGAGUUCACAGACCUCCUGAAGCUCAUCCAACACCCCCAGGAAAACUUUCUGCUGUUCUCACAAGGCUAUCCACAGUUGGUAAACUUCUUGAGGAAAAUGUCCUAUUUUCAAUUGGUAAUUGUAAACACAGUGCUGAGGCAUAGUGGGCACUUAAGGAAUAUCUUUUGUAUGAAUGGUGGAUGGCAAGAACCAUAGAAGGAUGAUAGGGACACAUUUUUGCAUUCCUCCAGAGUCUACCAGGGUAGCUACUCAAUGUUGUUAAGUAGCUUUUCAAAUGCAGAUUACAUGUAAGAACAGUUAUUAAAGGAAAUGUAGAUAUUAGUAAACAUCCCAAAGCCUCUGAGAUUAACAUGACCCACGUUCCAAAUUCUCCAGGAAAAACCAAGGGACAAACUACUUAUAUCUGCCAUAAGCCAAUUCACAGACACUAUAAUAUUUUACAAAUGGAAACAAGACUUUUGUGUAUUUCAGAGGAAAGGAAGUAAUUGUCAAGGUAUGACUGCAUGAAUCUAAAAAAUUUUUUAGACUCUAAAGAAUCUAAAAUGUAAAUAUAUGACAGGAAAUACAAAAUGUUGGGAGAAAAAUUCAACUAUUUGGAUGAGACUUAGGGUCUUAAGGGUUAGAAUAACUGCGUAUCACUGGGCUUGCUUUAAACAAGUCUUGAACUCAAAUCUAAUGCAAGGCUUUUUUCCAUGACAUUAAAAAUUGAAUUUUACAGUGGAGAUAUCAUUACAAUGAGAUAAAUUUACAACGGAGAAAACUUUAGAUAAACUGAGCUAAAAUAUUUAUCCCAGAAAAUGAGAAUUAAUUUUUGUUUCUGAGUUCGGGGUGAACAUGGUAAAGCCAUUCUAAAUUUUUAGUGUUUUGACCUUCAGAGUACUGGCCUAUAAGGAAAGUUUGCUAAGAAAUGGAAAAAGUAUGUUUAAUUUAAUAGUACAACCACAGAUAAGAUUUCAUUCAUUCAGUGGGUACGCUCAAGGACAAGAAAUGGCUUAUUCUAGAGGGAAGAGGAUACAUACUACAGAGUACAGAAGUUUAAUACUGCCAAGGUAAUGUAAGACUAUAUUUAAAAGGCUCUGGAAUGCCAAGUUAAGAAGUACAGACUUUAUCCUCUCACCUUGUGAUAUUAAACUGGGGCAAAAGUUACAAAAUUGGGAGGACAGGAUAAAGGGAAAUUGGGAAGACAGCAUAUAAUUACAGUUUGAAAAUAAGCACAGCUUUGAUCUGAUGCUUCAAUUUGGCAUAGGCAUCCAAAAUUCUAAUAAUUUUAAUGGUGAUCAAAGGGAGCUUUGAGUUGUUUUUGAACUUACGUGUUUUGAUAACAAAAAUAAAAACAUGUUUCCAAUAUGGUCCUACAUAAAUGUAUUAGUAAACAGAACUAAGUAGCAACACUGGGACUAAAAUUCACAUAUCCUGAUUUUAUAAUCAGCAUGCUUUCUAUUAUUCCACAGAUGCCAACACUUGAAAAUGGUAUUUUAGGAAAGUGAGUACAAUAUGUAGAAUGGAUUGGAUGAGGCAAGAAACUAGAGGCAAGAAGAGAACAGCUAUUGCUGUAAUCAUUCUUAAAUCACCCACAAGUUACAAGGAUAUUGUUAUUUUUGCAGAAACGCCAGUGACAUGUGGAUAAUGAAAUACAACCACAGUUGUAUAAGUACAUCUUUAUGCAUAUAAAGGGGAAAAGCAGUUCUCAAGCUCAUCUAAGAGACAAGCUCUUCGGACCAUUUGAAGAAUCCACUUGAAGAAUAAAUCUCUGUCUUACAAUUUUUUUUAAUGUUUAUUUAUUUUUAACAGGGUGGGGGGGGGGGCGGGCAGAGAGAUGAGGACAGAGGAUCCAAAGCAGUAUCUAUGCCUAUAGCAGUGAGCCCAAUGUGGUGCUUGGAUUCACAAACCGUGAUGAUGACCUGAGCCAUAAGUCAAACACUCAGUGGACUGAGCUACCCAGGCACCCCUCUCCAUCUCAGAAUUUUAAGCUCACUACAAUUUCUGCUCAUGCAAUGGCCACUAAUGCCUAUUAAGUGCCAAGUACUAUAUUAAGCAAGAAGGAUACACAGAUAAUUAAGUCACAGUCACUAGCCCUGGAGGCUUUCAGUCCGGGAAGUCAGAAAUGUAAAUGUUUAUGAAUCUAAUGAACUGAGUGCUAUAGAAACACAGAAGUGUUUAACACAUGAACAAAAAAAUUUAAUCUGUCUAAAUGUUAAGGUCUUACUUUCAGUUUCAAACUGUCAAACCUUUUCCAAACUAAAUGUCAAAUAUUGAAGGGAAAAAAGCUAACGGUAUUCUAAAAGUAAAUACGGACAAACAUUCUUGCGAAUUUAACACUUGUAAUAGGAUGCUGUCUCCAGUGAGCCAUGUCAGGAGAGUUACUUAAAAGUUUACUUCCACUUGCAAAGUUAGAAUACAAGUAUGUUUGGCUACAUACCCAUCAAAGGCUGAAUAAGAAACUGAACCAAUUGAAAUGGGAAAACCCUAAAAUUAGCUCAAAUGCAAAAACGUGGAAAAUACUUCCUAUCACUCUAGCUUUGAAAGACACGUUAGACAUACAUACAGUACCAGUUAUAUAAACUUACUAAGAUAAUUUUAAAAACCUACAAGCUACAAGAUAACCUACUUCACACCCACAAGGAUGGCUAUAAUCAAAAAGACAGACAAUAACAAGUGUUGGUGAAGAUGAAGAGAAAUUGGUAGGAAUGUAAAAUGUACAGCAGCUUUGUAUAACAAUCUAGCAGUUCCUCAAAAUGUUCAACAGUUACCAUAUCACCCUUUAAUUCUAUUCCUAGGUAUAUACCCAAGAUAAAGGAAAACAUAUAUCCUAACAAAAAAUUGUACAUAAAUGUUUAUUCAUAAAAUAUAUUUUAUCUAUUGUUAUAUAAAGAAAAGAUUUCAAAAAGUGGAAACAACUCAAAUGUCUAUCAACGGAUGAAUGGAUAAACAAAGUGUAAUAUAUCCAUAAAAUGGAAUAUUAUUCAGUCAUAAAAAGAAAUGAAGUAAUUCUGAGUCCUACAACACAUAGAUGAACCUUGAAAACAUUGUAUAUAUUAAGUCAAAGGACUUCGCCACGAAACAUCACAUAUUGUAUGAUUCCAUUUACAUGAAAUGUCCAGGAGAGGCAAAUCCAUGGAGACAGCAGGUAGAUUAGCGGUUGCCUGGGGUUAGCGGGGAGGUAAGGGAGGAAGAAUGACUGCUAAUGGGGGGGGGGUGUCUUCUGGGGGUGAUAAAAAUUGAUUGUAAUGAUGACUGCACAUUUUUGUGAAUAUACUAAAAACUAUUAAAUUACACAGCUUAAAUGGAUAAAUUUUAUUGUAGGUGAAGUAUCUCUCCAUAAAGCUGUUACUGAUUUUUAAAACACCUACAAGCCAUGAUAUUAAACAAUUUAACAAACAAUGAAAAUGUGUAUACAUAUUUUGGCUGUGCAGCAUGAGACCUUCCAGGCUUUCAGUCUUUUCUCCCCUCCUGUUUUCUAACAUUUCAAAUCCAAACUUUAAAUAAAAAACUUCAGAGGUCUCAUUUAACCAAAAGACAAGUUCUCAUUAUCUGUCUUUUAAAAUCGUAUUUAGGGACACCUGGGUGGCUCAGUUGGUUGAGCAUCUGACUUCGGCUCAGGUCAUGAUCUUGUGGUCCAUGAGUUCGAGCCCCACAUCGGGCUCUGUGCUGACAGCCUGGAGCCUGCUUCAGCUUCUAUGUCUCCCUCUCUCUCUGCCCUUCCCCGCUCGCACUCUGUUUCUCUUUCUCAAAAAAAAAAAAAAAAGAAAAAAAGAAAAUCAUAUUUAAACAGCAAUCAUUUCACAAAAGAGGGCAUACAUAUAGUUAAAAAACAUGAAAAAUACCGCAUCUAUCU